UUGCCGCGACAGCGCUAGGGCCAGGGACUAGGGCUUUUGGGGGAGAAGAAGAGGCCUCCUCCUCCUCCUCCUCCUCCUCCUUCUUCCAGGGCGGGGGGAUGCUGAUCAAUGCCGCAUGGCGCAGGAUUUUGAAUCGGAAAUUGGUACGUUCUAGUCGCCGAUUCUUCUUCGCCGCUGCGCCGGGCGCUUGCCCGAUCGCGCGCCUUGGAAUUCGCGGCCUGCCGGUCCCCGAGGCAUCAGGCAUUGGCGGCCGCUCGUCGCUACGGCUAGUGGCAGUCCAGCGCCUCGCCGAGAAGGCGGAUUCCAAUGGAUCGAGCAAGGGUAAGGACGAGAGCAGCAGCAGCUUUAGUCUAUCCAAGCCAUCGCCAGGGAAUGCGAUCGAAGAGGGUUUUGAGGAGCUUCACGCAAAGGAGAAGAGAGGCUUUGGUGGUGGACUGCGGUAUCUUUCAGUCGGGGUAGGCUUCGCAGCGCUGUUCUUCGGGGCGGGGAUGGUGGUGAGAGAAGAGAAAGAGCCCCCCAUCUCUCUGGCCUCGCUCGAGAAAGCUGCCCGGGAUAUUGGCAGGCUCGUCAUCUCGACGCUGGAGACUCUGUCCAGUCGGAUCAGCAGCACCAUGGGAGAAGUGAUCGACGCUGGAGCUACUGCUCUUGUUCUUCUCCAGGGAUUAAAGUCGGUGUUGGAAUCGUAUGGAGAGGGAGUGACCAAAGGAUGGUGGAGAGCGAAGGUGGCGGCGUUCAUAGCGGACGUCUCCGCUGCUGGGGGCGACAGGAGAAAAGCAGUGGUUUGUGCCAGCGAUGGAGUUGUGGUGGAUUGGCUGCUCGAGACCGCCGCCAAGAGCCAAGGUCCCGGCUCCACUGUGACUCAAGGGGAGGCUGCAAGGGCCCUGUCGUAUCUCCUCGAGGACGAAGCGACCUGUGAGAGUGUCCUGGCUCGUCCACACGCGCUACCAAAUCUCUUGCGCUUUGCUGCCUCUCUUCCAGCUAACUUUCGACCCAAGACGUCCAAACAUCGGAGAAAGCUCGCGGAUAUUGGAAGCUCUAGAGGAAAGAGCCAGCUAGUUGCAGCCAUCAUGGAAAUCGUCACGGAAAGCUGCGAGCCAGUCGAGAACCAUGAGUUUAGACCUUCGCUUCCAGGGAGUGCUGAUCCUGCGGACAUAGCGGCAGCUUUGGCUGCUGUAGAAGAAGGCGGACUGAAGCUAGAUGAUGACUCCAGAGACGACGACAGAGGCAGCAUUCACGGCAUUGGAAUGAAGCUCAGUGGCACUACGGGGAUAGUUGCAGUGCAGAGGCUGGAACACGACUUCCAUCAGAGGUGGUGGACGAAGAUGAAAGAUAGUCUGUCCUUUUUUAGCGAUAAGAACUCGCUAGCGCUUUCGUUGGUGGACAAAGAUCCAGACAAGGACCUAGUUGGCUAUGGUCUCUGGGACGACUUGCAAGGAAGGCUUGUAGCAGUUCCUCUGGCCGCAUGGGCUUUAGCAACGUGGGCAGAGUCUUCGGCUGCGAAUCGGAAUCAUAUUUCGAGGCUCGACAAGGAUGGUCAGGCGUUGCUGGCCGCGGUUUUGGCUCCGGAAAGAACUGUUAAGUGGCACGGUGCGCGGACAAUGCAUUUGCUUCUCGACAACAAGAAGGUUACUUCGGACGAGGUAGUCUCGACAUGGAGCUCCGCAUUAUUGGAUAUGGCAGUGCAGGCUUGCGGCCACCGCGACUCAACACUCGCGGAGUCGGCUUUUUCGGCAUUUACUGCCUGCUUCAAGGAAGGAAGGCCGUCGCAAAUGAGCACCUUUGAAAAGGGUUUUCCUGCCAUCCGGGAGCUUGCUAGGCAGACUAAGGAAGAGGCUGCUAUCCAAAAAUCGAUCGCCAGGACGCUUGACACAGCCAUGCAAAAUGGACUCUGCUUGGGGCCCGAUGAAAGUAAGAGGUGGUCGGGAAUCCUCCUCCGUUGGUUGUCCAGCUCUCAGCCAGACACAGAACUUCAGAGGUCCGCCACCUCUAUCUUUGGGAAGGUGAUUGACUCGCUGGGAACGGACGGUAUUCCGGCUUGCCAAGCGCUGUUGGCUUCUUUGCUACUGGGACUUAUCAAACACGGGAAGUCUCCUGCUGCCAUUCGGAAGGAAGCCAAAGCUAAAGGUCUACUACAGUCUCAAUUGAUGCAGACGGCGGUUCAAGCUGCGACUCAGCUAGGAAAGAUGGUUUCGGUCGAGGCGAGAGCAGACGUUGCAAUAUCCGAGUUUGCAGGUGAGUUGCCUCUCGCGGACUUACUUGGAGCAGAUAUUGUUCCCAACGUGCCACUUCCGAAAAAUGGUGCUAAGGAGCUGCCACCCAAGUUUACUGUCGUCGAAGCGGCUCACGCGGUCAUCAAGGCUCUCAAAGCUCUAGCAGAUAUUUCGGCCGAAGACGCAUCGUAUCAAAAGAGAAUCAUCGAAGCUGGAGGACUCAUUCUACUCAGAAGGUUGAUGCUAGCAGAUGACUACGAGCAGUGGUGUUUUCUGGAUGCCUCCUCGGAGAAGGAUUGGAGACUACAGGCUUUGAAAGACAAGGAGGCUGCAGAGGUGUCGGAGCUGGCUUCACACAUGAGAAAGCAUGCUGCACGGCUGCUUACCGUCCUAACUCAGCAUCCGGAAGUCACACAGGCUGUUGCUGAUGACAACGAGUGGUGUUCAUGGCUAGGAGACUGUGCUGAUGGCGUCGUCCCGGGCUGCAAUGACCUCAAGUCUCGAAGCUAUGCACAGAUGACGCUACUCAACGUCGCACACUCGAGAAUCCAGAAGACGCUGAAGGGAUUUGGGAGGGACCUGGUUGAUGGAGUAUGGCCACGAUACGAGGACAUGGUAUUCUUGCUAAACUUCGACUCCAAGUUUUGGAAAAGCGAAGGAGUCGCCAAAUCGGCAGCGGAAGCUCUGAGUCCAGACGGUUCCGCGCAAGAAGUUGCUGCCGAGCGUCCGAGCUCUCCUGCUUCCGGCGAUCUGUCGUCUCCUCUUUUGGACGUGGUUUUCAUUCACGGACUUGCUGGUGGACCGAUCAAAACGUGGCGUGUAGCUGUGGACAAAACCUCGACGACAGGAAAGGGUGGCCUUGUGGAGAAAAUUGACGAGCAAGCGGGGAGGGAAGGGACUUGUUGGCCGUCAGAAUGGCUGUCACAUGAUCUACCUAGAACCCGGUUGCUCAGUCUCAAGUACAAGACGAACUUUUCCGAGUGGUCGGGAGCAACGCUUCCGCUCGAGGAAAUUAGCUCGGCGCUUCUCGACAAGCUGCUAGCAGCCGGUGUAGGAGAGCGCCCCGUGGUCUUUAUCUCCCACAGUAUGGGAGGUUUGGUUGUAAAGCAAAUGCUCGCACAAGCUGCGAAGGACAAGUCACGAGCUCAUCUCGUCGAUAAGGCUGCUGGCGUUGUUCGUGUUUUAUAGUUGUCCACACUUUGGAAGCAGAUUGGCAGACAUGCCAUGGCGAAUGGGCUACGUUCUACGUCCGGCGCCUUCGGUUGCGGAGCUGAGAAGCGGGUCUCCCAGACUGGAGGAGCUCAAUCGCUGCAUCCGCAAUCUACACUACAGAGGGACGCUCCAAGUUCUAAGUUUCAGCGAAACAAAGGUGACGCCGCUGGUAGAAGGCUAUGGAGGAUGGGCCUUGCGCAUGGAAGUGGUACCAAUCGAGUCUGCUUAUCCUGGUUUUGGAGAAUUGGUGGUGUUGGAUGGAACCGAUCACGUCAAUUCCUGCAAGCCUUUGAGCCCUUCAGAUCCCGCCUACACCAAAACUCUGGAGUUUUUGCGAAGAAUCCAGGUGAAGAUAGUGGAAGACUCGAGGAAAAAGAAGGAACAAUAGCAACAACUGUAUAUAACGCAACCUCUCGAGAAGGAAAAAAGAAUUUUGUAAUAACUGGCCUGGAAGUUUUGUUGGCUAUCUCGACCAAAAUGUUACACCGAACUCCUGUA